AACGAACGCUGGCGGCAGGCUUAACACAUGCAAGUCGAACGAAGGCCCCUCUUCGGAGGGUGUCCUUAGUGGCGGACGGGUGAGUAACGCGUGGGAAUUUGCCUAUCGGUACGGAACAACCAAGGGAAACUUUGGCUAAUACCGUAUACGCCCUACGGGGGAAAGAUUUAUCGCCGAUAGAGAAGCCCGCGUCGGAUUAGCUAGUUGGUAGGGUAACGGCCUACCAAGGCGACGAUCCGUAGCUGGUCUGAGAGGAUGACCAGCCACACUGGGACUGAGACACGGCCCAGACUCCUACGGGAGGCAGCAGUGGGGAAUAUUGGACAAUGGGGGCAACCCUGAUCCAGCCAUGCCGCGUGAGUGAUGAAGGCCUUAGGGUUGUAAAGCUCUUUCAGCGGGGAAGAUGAUGACGGUACCCGCAGAAGAAGCCCCGGCUAACUCCGUGC
rnacentral:rRNA from 1 species